UACAGAGGUCCCAAGCGUUGUUCGGAUUUAUUGGGCGUAAAGGGCGCGUAGGCGGCGGAGUAAGUUGGGUGUGAAAUCCCGGGGCUCAACCUCGGAAUGGCAUUCAAUACUGCUUCGCUAGAGUACUGGAGAGGAGGCUGGAAUUUACGGUGUAGCAGUGAAAUGCGUAGAUAUCGUAAGGAAGGCCGGUGGCGAAAGCGAGCCUCUGGACAGUUACUGACGCUGAUGCACGAAGGCCAGGGGAGCAAACGGG
rnacentral:rRNA from 1 species